UGAGGGAAAGGCGAAAAGAACCCCGGCGAGGGGAGUGAAAAAGAACCUGAAACCGUGUACGUACAAGCAGUGGGAGCACAGGUUUACCUGUGUGACUGCGUACCUUUUGUAUAAUGGGUCAGCGACUUAUAUUCUGUAGCAAGGUUAACCGAAUAGGGGAGCCGGAGGGAAACCGAGUCUUAACCGGGCGUUAAGUUGCAGGGUAUAGACCCGAAACCCGGUGAUCUAGCCAUGGGCAGGUUGAAGGUUGGGUAACACUAACUGGAGGACCGAACCGACUAAUGUUGAAAAAUUAGCGGAUGACCUGUGGCUGGGGGUGAAAGGCCAAUCAAACCGGGAGAUAGCUGGUUCUCCCCGAAAGCUAUUUAGGUAGCGCCUCGUGAAUUCAUCUCCGGGGGUAGAGCACUGUUUCGGCUAGGGGGCCAUCCCGGCUUACCAACCCGAUGCAAACUGCGAAUACCGGAGAAUGUUAUCACGGGAGACACACGGCGGGUGCUAACGUCCGUCGUGAAGAGGGAAACAACCCAGACCGCCAGCUAAGGUCCCAAAGUCAUGGUUAAGUGGGAAACGAUGUGGGAAGGCCCAGACAGCCAGGAUGUUGGCUUAGAAGCAGCCAUCAUUUAAAGAAAGCGUAAUAGCUCACUGGUCGAGUCGGCCUGCGCGGAAGAUGUAACGGGGCUAAACCAUGCACCGAAGCUGCGGCAGCGA
rnacentral:rRNA from 1 species